AAGUCGUAACAAGGUUUCCGUAGGUGAACCUGCGGAAGGAUCAUUAACACGUAUCCACGUAUAUACAUCUCCCGCGAACGUAUUUUUUGUUUUAAUAAGUUGGCUGGCCAGCGUAGCAAUGGAGGUAGAUGUUUACUAUGUCGCAAGAAGAAAAAUAGCGGUUUACCACGAUUCUUUUUUUUUGCGUUCUACCUGCCUAUCCAAAAACGAAGUGCCUCGCACGGCACUUGUGUUCUUGGGUAUUCUGGCUCAUAUGACUUGAAUCAUAGUAGUUUCUCUAUUCACCUUUUUAUCAAUAUGUAAGAAUUUGUGAUGGUUGCUGAUUGGGAGGUUUAACGACCUCACUCUCGCAGCUCACGUUAAAAAAACAUUAUACAACUCUUAGCAACGGAUAUCUCGGUUCUCCUAUCGAUGAAGAACGC
rnacentral:misc_RNA from 1 species